UACGUAGGGGGCAAGCGUUGUCCGGAAUCAUUGGGCGUAAAGAGCGUGUAGGCGGCCCGACAAGUCCGCUGUGAAAGUCAGGGGCUCAACCCUUGAAUGCCGGUGGAUACUGUCGGGCUAGAGUCCGGAAGAGGCGAGUGGAAUUCCUGGUGUAGCGGUGAAAUGCGCAGAUAUCGGGAGGAACACCGGUGGCGAAGGCGGUUCUCUGGGCCUGACCUGACGCUGAGGAGCGAAAGCGUGGGGAGCGAACAGG
rnacentral:rRNA from 1 species